rnacentral:rRNA from 1 species
ACGCUGGCGGGAUGUAAACUUUACACAUGCAAGUCGAACGGCACGGACUUCGGUCUGGUGGCGAGUGGCGAACGGGUGGGUAAUGUAUCGGAACGUGCUAAAUAACUGAAGAUAACUACGCGAAAGCGUAGCUAAUGCCGCAUACGCCCUUCGGGGAAAGCGGGGGACCUUCGGGCCUCGCACUAUUAGAGCGGCCGAUAUCGGAUUAUGCAGCAGUUGGUGGAGGAUAGCGCCGUCACCAAGGCGACGAUCCGUAGCUGGUUUGAAGGACGACCAGCCACACACUGGAUUUGAACUGGCCCGGGCUCUACAGAGGCAGUAGUCAGGCCCGGACAAAGCGGAAGCCUGAUCCAAUGUCAUCCGCGUGUGCGAUGAAGGCCUUCGGGUUGUAAAGCACUUUUUUGGCGGAAAAAACGGCCUGGGAUAAUACCCCGUGCGCAUUUGGCGAUGCGAACUGGCGCAACUAACUACGUGCCAGCAGCCGCGGUAAUACGUAAGUGCAAGCGUUAAUCGGAAUUACUGGAGCGUAAAGCGUGCGCAGGCGGUUCGGAAAGGAAAGAUGUGAAAUCCCAGGCUUAACUGGAACUGCAUUUUUAACUACCGAGCUAGAGUGUGUCAGAGGGAGGUGGAAUUCCGCGUGUAGCAUUGAAGAAAUGCGUAGAUAUGCGGAGGAACACCGAUGGCGAAGGCAGCCUCCUGGGAUAACGGCUAUGCACGGCGUGGGGAGCAAGGCAGGACGAUGCCUGGUGAUCCACGCCUAAACGAUGUCAACUAGCUGUUGGGGCCUUCGGGCCUUGGUAGCGAAAACAGCUAACGCGUGAGAUUGACCGCCUGCGAAUUACGGUCGCAAGAUUAAAACUCAAAGGAAUUGACGGGGACCCGCACAAGCGGUGGAUGAUGUGGAUUAAUUCGAUGCAACGCGAAAAACCUUACACCUACCCUUGACAUGUCUGGAAUCCCGAAGAGAUUUGGGAGUGCUCGCAAAGAGAACCGGAACACAGGUGCUGCAUGGCUGUCGUCAGCUCGUGUCGUGAGAUGUUGGAGGUUAAGUCCCGCAACGAGCACGCAACCCUUGUCAUUAGUUGCUACGAAAGGGCACUCUAAUGAGACUGCCGGUGACAAACCGGAGGAAGGUGGGGAUGACGUCAAGUCCUCAUAGCCAUACUGAGCGGGCUUCACGUCCGCCUUACAAUGGUCGGGACAGAGGGUCGCCAACCGCGAAGGGGAGCCAAUCCCAGAAACCCGAUGUAGUCCGGAUCGCGUCCAACUCAGACUGCGUGAAGUCAGAAUCUUCAGCCGUCAGGAUCUUCUAUCGCGAUGUGAGACACAGACUGGUCUUGUACACACCGCCCGUCACACCAUGGGAGUGGGUUUUUUUAGAAGUAGUUAGCCUAACCGUAAGGAGGGCGAUUACCACGGUAGGAUUCAUGACUGGGGUGAAGUCGUAACAAAGGUAA